AACGAACGCUGGCGGCAGGCCUAACACAUGCAAGUCGAGCGAAGCCUUCGGGCUUAGCGGCGGACGGGUGAGUAACGCGUGGGAACGUGCCCUUUGGUACGGAAUAGCCCCGGGAAACUGGGAGUAAUACCGUAUGUGGUCGAGAGACGAAAGAUUUAUCGCCAAAGGAUCGGCCCGCGUUGGAUUAGGUAGUGGGUGGGGUAAUGGCCUACCAAGCCGACGAUCCAUAGCUGGUUUGAGAGGAUGAUCAGCCACACUGGGACUGAGACACGGCCCAGACUCCUACGGGAGGCAGCAGUGGGGAGUCUUAGACAAUGGGGGAAACCCUGAUCUAGCCAUGCCGCGUGAUCGAUGAAGGCCUUAGGGUUGUAAAGAUCUUUCAGUGGGGAAGAUAAUGACUGUACCCACAGAAGAAGCCCCGGCUAACUCCGUGCCAGCAGCCGCCGUAA
rnacentral:rRNA from 1 species